UACAGAGGUCCCAAGCGUUGUUCGGAUUCACUGGGCGUAAAGGGUGCGUAGGUGACUUGGUAAGUUCGAUGUGAAAUCUCCGGGCUUAACCCGGAAAUGGCAUUGAAUACUAUUGAGCUGGAGGUUUGGAGGGGGGACUGGAAUUCUCGGUGUAGCAGUGAAAUGCGUAGAUAUCGAGAGGAACACCAGUGGCGAAGGCGAGUCCCUGGACAACACCUGACACUGAGGCACGAAAGCUAGGGGAGCAAACAGG
rnacentral:rRNA from 1 species